rnacentral:tRNA from 2 species
GCCUCGGUAGCUCAGCUGGGAGAGCACCUGACUCUUAAUCAGGGUGUCCAGGGUUCGAACCCCUGCCGGGGUACCA